rnacentral:rRNA from 1 species
UGCGUAGGCGGCUACUUAAGUCUGUCGUGAAAGCCCACAGCUUAACUGUGGAGGGUCGAUGGAAACUGGGCAGCUUGAAUGCAGAAGAGGUAAGUGGAAUUCCAUGUGUAGCGGUAAAAUGCUUAGAUAUAUGGAGGAACACCAGUGGCGAAGGCGGCUUACUGGUCUGUUAUUGACGCUGAGGCACGAAAGCGUGGGGAGCAAACA